UGGAGUAUGUGGUUAAUUCGAUGCAACGCGAAGAACCUUACCUGGUCUUGACAUCCCAGAAAUCCCUUGGAAACUUGGGAGUGCUUCCAUUAGGAAGAAUCUGGAGACAGGUGCUGCAUGGCUGUCGUCAGCUCGUGUCGUGAGAUGUUGGGUUAAGUCCCGCAACGAGCGCAACCCUUGCCUUUAGUUGCCAGCAGUUCGGCUGGGCACUCUAAAGGGACUGCCGGUGUUAAACCGGAGGAAGGUGGGGAUGACGUCAAGUCCUCAUGGCCUUUAUGACCAGGGCUACACACGUACUACAAUGGCCGAUACAAAGGGCAGCGACAUCGCGAGGUGAAGCCAAUCCCAUAAAAUCGGUCUCAGUCCGGAUUGGAGUCUGCAACUCGACUCCAUGAAGUUGGAAUCGCUAGUAAUCGUGGAUCAGCAUGCCACGGUGAAUACGUUCCCGGGCCUU
rnacentral:rRNA from 1 species